CGCACCGAUGCCAAACGGUCAUAUUCCAAACCUCGUAUUUACCGGUUUACGACACUUAAUUACAAUCAAAACAUAUGAGGAAUAAACAAUUUUAACAAUAAAUAUAAAUAAGUCUCGUUACUUGGGUGCAGGAUACAGUUUUUAGCUCGGAAAUCGGUAAAUAGAAGAGACUGAAUAUGAUGAACUGGCAUCAUUGCGCUCACCUCAGUAGCCUCAAGGGAACCACGUGGGGAGGUUGCUUAUAUAACUGUUCCGCCAUUUACCUUUAAAAAACCUCAAUUAACACCUGUAUUUGAGGUCUUCACGGCACACAGCAUGGAUAUCAAACAAAAGGUGGUCGGCUAUGCAAGACUACUACUACUACUACUACUACUACUACAACGAUGUCCGCCUGCCUAUCCCUCUCCGCCUAUGAAGAGAACAACCAAAAACCACCACUGAAGCCAUCACCACCGCCACCCACUAUCAUCACCAACAAACAAACAACAACUUACUAGAGUGUACGUGUGUUACCCUGUCCAAACAAAGAACCCAAAACUCAAGACUUCAACAAAAUACCUACUGAAUGCCUAAUAGAAAAAGCCUGCCACUCCACCCUCCCCCGCGUGCGUGUCCUCUGCGGCGUCUCAAGUUUCUCUUUGCUCUGUGUUGUGCCGCCCCGGGAGAGAAGUUUCCGCCUCAAUUCCUGUAAACGUCCCUUCCCUCGCUGCUCCCUUCGUCCAGCCUACCACCGCAGUCCUCCCAGGCGCGUCCCUUCACGUCC